ensembl:lncRNA
CUUCCCCAGUGCUCUCUGACUCACUUUCCUCUGAGAAGUAGCAGUAGCAGAAAGCUUUCUGUGUCCUUCACUGGCUGCAAGGUGUGACAAGGAGAAAGGUUAUGUUUCAGAAGCCUUUGCAGCUUCAGGUCUUCUCUUCUCCUUGUGAGCCCUCAACAGACCUCCCUUUAGCUGUCCCUUUGCAGCAAUACAGGUUUUUCUAGCAUGUACCUCAAGUCUUCCAGCCUCUACCCAUUACCAGUUCCACGGCCAUUUCCACAUGUUCAGAAGGCCAGAUAACCUCCAAAAUUACCCAAGGAUUCAUCAUAUCAAGGGACAAACAGCUUCCUGCUUCUUCUCUCUGUGUCCUCUCAGGGCUAUAGUGUCUGGCCCUCUCUCAAGCCUUCUCCUCCUUAUGCCGACACGUCGUGGUGACUUUCUUACAGCUGACAUCCUCAUACAUCUAGCUCUUCGUAUGUGGAAUUCAAACUUUUGA